rfam:Triticum aestivum genome assembly, contig: Triticum_aestivum_CS42_TGACv1_scaffold_050339_1BS
GUCCUACUCCCUCCGUCCGAAAAUACUUGUCAUCAAAAUGGAUAAAAAAAGAUGAAUUUAGAACUAAAAUACGUCUAGAUACAUCCCUUUUACCCAUUUCGAUGACAAGUAUUUCCGGACGGAGGGAGUACUAU